rnacentral:rRNA from 1 species
UACGGAGGAGGCAAGCGUUAUCCGGAAUUAUUGGGCGUAAAGCGUCCGUAGAUGGUUUUGUCAGUCUGCUGUCAAAGCACAGGGCUUAACCCUGUAAAGGCAGUGGAAACUACAAGACUAGAGUGCAGUAGGGGCAGAGGGAAUUCCCAGUGUAGCGGUGAAAUUCGUAGAGAUCGGGAGGAACACCAGUGGCGAAGGCGACUACCUGGACCAGCACUGACACUGAGGCACGAAAGCGUGGGGAGCAAACAGG